CUUGGAAAGAGAGAUCAACACAGAUUAGUUAUACUCACUACUCUCAGUCUCUUCCAAAAUAAAAAGGUAGAAAAUCACCAGUGGUGUUACAGCACUGUUGUUGAUAAACUGAGGCUGAGACACAGAGCAGUUGGGCAGGCCUUAAGAGCUAAUGGUAGAGCAAUGAAUCACUGGACAGCCAAAGUCCACGGAGGAGGGUGUCCACAGGGCUCCCAAAUAGUACAGCAGCUGACUGUGAGCCAAGAGACAGACUCGGCCAUGGGCUCUGCACCACUGCCGAGGCGGGUCCAUUUCUUCAUCUAUCAGAUGAUGCCAGAGGAGGAGAUAACCUUUGAGGUCCUUUUCAGCUUUGACAUUCUCCAUGAGAGACCAUGUUCCAUAAGGACUCAGCAACUGUUUGAUUCCCAGGCUUUUUUUUUUUUUUUUCCAGUUCUUCAUUUCUAUUUUAAAAAAUUGCAUGUUCCCGUGGCCCUGGAAUGCCUGCCUCCGGCCCCUCUGGAGCCCUGGGUUAUGUGAAAGCAGCCGUGCCAAGCUGGCCCAUGGGCGGGGCUGAGCCUUCCUGGCCGGCCUGUGACAUGUUCCUGACGUACUGUGUGGUCAAGGAGCUGGAA